ACUCCUACGGGAGGCAGUAGUGGGGAAUCUUAGACAAUGGGGCGCAAGCCUGAUCUAGCCAUGCCGCGUGAGUGAUGAAAGGCCCUAGGGUCGUAAAAGCUCUUUCGCCUGUGAUGAUAAUGACAGUAGCAGGUUAAAAGAAACCCCGGCUAACUCCGUGCCAGCAGCCGCGGUAAUACGGAGGGGGUUAGCGUUGUUCGGAAUUACUGGGCGUAAAGCGCACGUAGGCGGAUCAGAAAGUUGGGGGUGAAAUCCCGGGCUCAACCCCGGAACUGCCUCCAAAAACUCCUGGUCUUGAGGUUCGAGAGAGGUGAGUGGAAAUUCCGAGUGUAGAGGUGAAAAUUCGUAGAGUAUUCGGAGGAACACUAGUGGCGAAAGGCGGCUCACUGGCUCGAUACUGACGCUGAGGUGCGAAAGUGCUGGGGAGCAAAACAGGAUUAGAUACCCUGGUAGGAUAGCG
rnacentral:rRNA from 1 species